AUGGAUCUGGCAACGGGUGCCAUGGUCUCCCUCCUCCCCAAGCUAAGCGAGCUCCUCAAGGAGGAGCACAAGCUGUCCAAGGGCGUCAAGAAAGACGUUGAGUUUCUCUCACGAGAGCUGACCCACAUGCAUGUCGCCCUACACAAGGUCGUGAGGGUGCCACAUGACCAAGAGCUUAUCGGGGAGGUCAAGCUCUGGGCCGACGACGCCAGGGAGGUGUCGUAUGAGAUGGAGGAUAUCAUCGAUAGCUUCCUGGUGCCACCUGUUGACAGCUCUGCGCCCGCUGAUGACCCGCACACACGGCUCAAAAGGAUCACCAAGAAGAUGGCCAAAUUGUUCAAGAAAGACAAGACCCGUGAUCAGUUGGUCGCCGAUGCCAUCAAAGACAUCAAGGACAAGGUCCAGAAGGUGUCCGACCGACCAGGAAGAUAUGAUGUUGCUGCUAAUUUAGCAGUCACGACAAAAGUUGACCCUCGUCUGUCAGCCGUGUACAAAGAUACGGAGAUUGUUGGGGUGGAAGAACCCAGAGAUGAGCUGGUCAAGAGGCUCACCGGUGGAGAGGAUGGUGUUUCCAAGGACCAACUCAAGAUCCUCUCAAUUUUCGGGUUUGGAGGAUUAGGCAAGACGACUCUUGCCAGGGCAGUCUAUGAGAGACUUCAAGGGCAAUAUGUUCGUGAUGCUUUCGUUGCGGUGGGUCGCAACCCUGACCCGAAGAAAGUAUUGAUGGACAUCUUACUUCAGCUUGACAAGAACAAGAAUUAUAAGGCACACAAUUUAGCCAUGUUGGAUGAAAUACAGCUCAUCGAUGAACUCCGGGGACUGCUUGAGAACAAGAGGUACUUGAUUGUUAUUGAUGAUAUAUGGGACAUAAAAGCAUGGGAAAUUAUCAAGUGCGCUUUCAUGGAUAGUAAUUGUGGAAGUAGAAUAAUCACAACUACUCGGAUUUUGGAAGUCGCCACAAUCACUGGUGAUGUUUACAAGCUAAAAGCCCUCUCUCAUCAGAAAUCUGAAGAAUUAUUCUUUACAAGAUUAUUUGGUGGCAAAGGUGAAUGCCCAUAUGAUGAACCGACUGAGUUAUCAGAAAAGGUUUUACACAAAUGCGGUGGUGUACCGUUGGCUAUCAUUACAAUAGCUAGUUUGUUGGCUGGUAAACCAAAGGAGUAUUGGUCUGAGGUGUACUGUUCUAUUGGUUUUGGAAAUGGAGACAAUGAACAUGUCGAGAACACGAGAAUAAUAUUGUCAUUUAGCUAUUAUGAUCUGCCUGGGCAUUUAAGAACUUGUUUGUCGUAUUUAAGCAUUUACCCUGAAGAUUACAAGAUCAACAAAGAAACUUUGAUAUGGAAGUGGAUAGCCGAAGGUUUUAUUCACGAAGACUCGGGAAUAGGGUUAUUUGAGCUCGGAGAGAGAUACUUCAACGAGCUCGUGAAUAGAAGCAUGGUUCAGCCGGUAGAGCAAGAUGGUGCCAUAUAUGCAUGCAUAGUUCAUGAUAUGGUGCUCGAUAUGAUCCGUUCAUUGUCGAAUGAGAAAAACUUUGUUAUCAUAUUAGAUGGUACAGAGGAAGCAGCCACAUCCUCCCGUAUAAAUGCUCGUAGGUUAGCCAUCCAAAAGAGCAUCGUAGAGCCACACAUUAACCUUUUGUCUAACACACACUUGUCGCAAGUGAGGUCGUUCAACGCGACCGGAUGUCGUUUUAGCACACCAAUGACGCUGUCUCUUUCAAGCUUUUGCGCUUUACGCGUCCUAGCUAUGGAAAGAUGCACUUUCACCGAAGGCCAUCUUUAUCAGCCCGAGCAUGUCGGGAGGUUGCUUCAGUUGAGGUACCUAGGUCUUUACAGUACACGUACUCUUGAGCUCCCUGAAGAAAUAGGGGAUCUGAUGUUGUUGCAGACACCGGACUUGAGAUUUAGUGGGAUAAAAGAGUUGCCAUGCAGCAUCGGUCGGCUGAGGCAACUCAAAUGCCUCCGCGCCGACGGUGAAUCCUUUAGAGUGCCGGAUUGGAUCGGCAACCUCACGUCCCUGGAAGAGCUAUCCUUGCACGACGUUCCAGCAAGCUUCAUGGGGGAGCUGGGAAAGCUGACAGAGUUGAGGGACCUCAGGUUUAGGAUUCAGAGCAUACAUCCGAGUUUGAAGCAAGUCUUGGUGGAUUCCCUGUGCAACCUGAAGAAGAUACAAGUCCUGCAGAUGAAUGGUCCCUGGUUCAACGACGACCCCAACUGGGAAGCCUACGUGCCCACUCCGCAGCUGCGCCGCCUUGUGCUCUGGUUCAGGUUUCAGAGGCUGCCGGAGUGGAUCACCCCGGCGUCUCUCCCAAACCUCUCGCACCUGACCGUGGAGGUGGCCUCUGCGGCGGCGCACGAUGUGGAGACUCUCGGGAGGUUGCCCCAGCUCGUGAGCCUCGACUUUGCUACGCCGUACGACAUGAUCUUCCCUGCAGUUGGUGGCGCCAUGUUCCCGAGGUUGGUGUCGUGCGGGACGCAUGUGCCGUUGAGGUUUCUGCCGGGAGCCAUGUUGGGGCUUGAGUCCGUUGGUUGCAGCGUCAAGGUACGGCACCUCAAGGACGCUCACAUGGACUUAAACCUUGCGUUGGGCAGCUUACGAAAUCUCCCUUCGCUUCAGAGGGUGAAAGUUGAAAUCCGCAGCUUUGGUGCCACUGACGCGGAGGUGGAGGAGACGGAGGCCGUGCUGAGGCACGAGGUCGACAUCCAUCCCAACCAUCCGGUCCUUCGUCUGUCUCUGCAAAAAUGUUAA
rnacentral:rRNA from 1 species